ACUCCUACGGGAGGCAGCAGUGGGGAAUCUUGCGCAAUGGGCGAAAGCCUGACGCAGCCAUGCCGCGUGGAUGAUGAAGGUCUUAGGAUUAGUAAAAUCCUUCGACCGGGGACGAUAAUGACGGUACCCGGAGAAGAAGCCCCGGCUAACUUCGUGCCAGCAGCCGCGGUAAUACGAAGGGGGCUAGCGUUGCUCGGAAUUACUGGGGCGUAAAGGGGCGCGUAGGCGGACAGUUAAGUUGGGGGUGAAAGCCCGGGGGCUCAACCUCGGAAAUGCCUUCAAUACUGGCUGUCUUGAGUACGGGAGAGGUGAGUGGAACUCCGAGUGUAGAGGUGAAAUUCGUAGAUAUUCGGAAGAACACCAGUGGCGAAGGCGACUCACUGGCCCGUUACUGACGCUGAGGCGCGAAAGCGUGGGGAGCAAACAGGAUUAGAUACCCUGGUAGGAUAGCG
rnacentral:rRNA from 1 species